UAACAAAAAAGGAUUACUUACAUUCUGGGCUUGAAAUGAAAAAGACAUUGGAUCCUCUGAUGCAUUAGAUGACUUUGGAAAAUCAAAACCAGGUCAUAGGUUUUGCCACAGUUUGUUUUAUCACAGUUUGUUUUUCAUCUAAAUGCUUCAUAGGGGAAAUUUCCUUUCAAGAAUAGAUUACAGAUUUUUAUAUAUAAAAAAAUCUUAGGAUUCUGCAUAAUGAGAGAAAGGUUGUAAGUUCAUACCACAUAUUUGCCAGAGAGCCACUGUUACCAUAGAAUCCUUGAACAGGGCACCAUGUCGACUACACAUGGAUAAAAGUUUCUGUCAAAUGAAAAAAAUGUAAUAAAUGCAAAUCUAUUACUACUGACUAGAACUAGUAUUAGGGUACAGCUCGAUGUAUCAGCUUUUACUCAUCUUUUCAUGUAGUUUGAGUUUUGUUAGGAGUCAUACUGUCACCUACCUGGUUUAAACAGUAGUGAAAAAAUGCACUGUUAAUGAACCACUAUUAAAUGGUGAGAAACACAGCAGAUGUGUUCACUAGCUCUCUUUCAUAGUCAGACUGUUGUAUUGCUAAUGCAGUGUUUGUUUGCCUUGAGAGAAGCUACAGUUUCCUUGACUUGCACUUUGUGUCCUUUGAAAAAUAAGCCUCUGAAUAUGUGAUUUGGCCAAAGUCAACAAACCCUGUGUAUGCUGAGAGCUGGAACUUUCAGCCUCUGACAGGCAAUAUGGUCAAGUAAAUGUGAAUUCAACAGAUAUUAUAAAAUAAUGAUAAUAGUAAAUGCCUCCAGGCUGAUUUUGCUGCCAAAUUAUGAAAUAUGUUCAAAUAUGAAGCCUUAGGCAGUGAUAGCUCAGGAGUUAAGGUUCAGAAGUAGUGUUUGAAAGAUUGUGAGAUCAAACCCUAUGAUCUCAUGCAGAGAGAGCUGGGUUUUUAAUCUUCUCUCAACUUUACGUUACUUUGGAUAAAAGCAUUUGCCAAAUGAAUUCAUGUAAAUGUAUAUAACUAAAAUAACUGAAGAGAUGAGAUGUUGGCAUAUUUAAGCAAAAUGUACAAACGAGCCUGUAUUUCAUCCUGAGAGCAUCAACCUUCCAUAGACUGCAUUAUAGAGAUAACACUCAGUUUGCAUUGGCAUUACCUAAAGGAAAACUCCAUCCUGAACCACCUGCAUGUCAAUAUUUAAAAUUAAUAUGUGAUCUUCAGAUUUAUUUUAUGAAUAAAUUCUAAAUCAACUUUUUUUUUUUUGGUUUAAACUUCUUUUAUCAACAUGUUAGUUUAUUUUCACUUAGGUUAAUGUUUUCCUACAUUACCCACUAUGCUGUAGGUGUGCGACGGCUAUAUGAAAGAUUAAGAAAUGACAGGGUUAAAGAUUCCUUCGUACUAUUGCACUUUGUUGCCACAAAGCCAACAAUAAAUGACCAACAUCCUGUAUUUCCUGAGGCUUUAUUUACCCCAUACCCCAUAUGUUUAGGUGCUCAAGAAAUAUGGAAUUGGCCUACGUCUUAGCAAAAGUGGCAACUUAAUGUUUAUCUAUAAUGUGCUUGAUGGUCAGGGCUACCAGUUGCCCAACAGGUGAUCUUGGAUGAUCUAAAUAGAUCUGGGCUUAGCAAUUACAAUCUACUGACACAUUAAAAAACAGUCAUUUAUAUCUCCUGGUGGGAAGGCAAGAAAGAUGAUCAGGUUCUGACAUCAUGCUCUGAGUGCAGCAGUGGCAGGGCCUGAUGGGAGUAUAAUGUAUCAGUGUGGGUGUGGGGGGGGCAGGAGGUACUCAUCUCAACCUUGCAGAUCCUCCUCAGAUGCUCAGAUCUGAGAAGAGGGACAUAUUUGGGACUUCCGACCCUUCAUGCUCAUUCUCUUUAGAAGGUUUCAGCCUCUAGAUUUAGGUCUUUGAACGCAUUGGUAGCAUGACCUUCUGAGUUCUGAUUCAUUCUUCUAGCAAGAUUGAUCAGGUACAUUUUUUUUGAGGAACUUUAAACCAAGAGGAUGGUGUCCUAAGCGAAACCGAGCUAUGUUAUAAGGAUCAUUUUACUUAUUCCCCUUCUGCGCUACGAAUCAUUUUGGACUUUCCUUGGUGUCAUUGACUCUUAACAAGGAAGGUCAUAAUCCAUCAAGCUGUGUAUCACUGCACUUUGCUUCAAAAGCCAUCUUUUCUGUGGUGGACCCGUCCCUACUGCAAACAAGCAUUCUCUUGAUCUGGACAGUUAUUCUUGAAGUUUGCCAGUUUUAAUCAUGGUGCGAAUUACAUGCACAAUCUCGGUUACAACAGGAGAUGAGCCCACUGCGGGGUCUUACGCGAGCAGCUUUGAUGACCACUACAAAAGGGUAGUGCGGAGUGGCGACAGCGAUCCAGGGCUUUACAAGGAAGAGUGUGAUGAGCUGGAGGUUUACGAGGAGGAGGAAGAAGAAGAGCCCCCUAAUAUUGACUUGGCAACCUUUUUCAGUGGUUGUUCCCUUCAUGGUGCCAACCAUGUCUUUGUGGAGAAUAAGAAGUUUGGAGUGAGGCAGGGUCUCUGGGCAGUGUGCUUCCUGGUGGCCCUCUCUCUGUUCUUGAUCCAGGUGGGUGACCGUGUUGUCUAUUACAUGCAGUAUGACCAUGUUACCAUGCUGGAUGAGCGCAAUGCACCCAACAUGACCUUCCCAGCCAUCACUCUCUGCAACUACAACACCUUCCGUCGUUCCCAGAUUAGCUACAGUGACCUUCUCUUUAUGGGACCACUCAUAGGGUAUGAGGACAACAUGGCACCUGGGUUCCAGCUUGCCCCUGAGCCUGAUCGCCAAGGUGCCCGGUUCAGCAUGGCCGAGUUCUAUAACCGGACGCGACAUCGUAUGGACGACAUGCUUCUGGAGUGCAACUUUGCUGGAAAGGAUUGUGGCCCUGAGCACUGGAGAGAGAUCUUCACUCGAUAUGGCAAAUGCUACACAUUCAACUCUGGCCAGGAUGGACAGCCACUCCGUAUCACCACGAAAGGGGGUAUGGGCAACGGCCUGGAACUAAUGCUAGACAUUCAGCAGGACGAGUACCUGCCAGUGUGGGGAGAGACAGAUGAGACGUCUUUUGAAGCCGGCAUCAAAGUGCAGAUCCACACUCAGGACGAGCCGCCUUUCAUUGAUCAGCUGGGAUUCGGAGUGGCGCCAGGCUUUCAGACGUUUGUGUCCUGCCAGGAGCAGAGGUUGACCUACUUGCCCCCUCCGUGGGGUGACUGCAGGUCCGAGCCCAUGGACUCAGACUUCUUUACUACCUACAGCAUCACAGCAUGCCGCAUCGACUGUGAGACGCGCUACCUGGUAGAGAACUGUAACUGUCGCAUGGUGCACAUGCCUGGAGAUGCUCCAUAUUGCACGCCGGAACAGUAUAAAGAGUGUGCUGAUCCAGCUUUGGAUUUCCUGGUGGAGAGAGACAAUGAUUACUGUGUGUGUGAGACACCCUGCAACAUGACACGCUAUGGCAAAGAGUUAUCCUUCGUCAAGAUCCCCAGCAAGGCCUCGGCCAAAUACCUGGCCAAGAAGUUCAACAAGACAGAGCAGUACAUUGCGGAUAACAUCUUGGUUCUGGAUAUCUACUUCGAGGCUUUGAACUAUGAGACUAUUGAGCAGAAAAAGGCCUAUGAGCUGCCUGGAUUACUGGGUGAUAUUGGUGGUCAGAUGGGUCUUUUUAUUGGAGCCAGUAUUCUGACAGUUUUGGAGCUCUUUGACUAUCUUUAUGAGGUGAUCAAGUACAAGCUGUGCCGUUGCAGGAAGAAGAACCACAAACGCAGCAACAACAACGACCGAGGAGCCGUGCUGAGCCUGGACAACGUGCAGUGCCAUGUCAGUAAUGAACAAGUGAACACUCCGGCAUAGAGAGGAGCGUGAGAGAGAAAUAGGAGAAUGGGGGAUAAAACAGAUGACAGAAUGACUGAUUAAUCUCAAAUAUAACGUCAAAAGCCUCCAUGUGAAAAUCUUCGUACUCCCUCUACAUAUCCGGCCAACAUCCUACCUCACCAUCCAGGGCAGGGCAACUUCGAGGACUUCACCUGCUGAGUGUGUGAGAGAGGAGCUGGUAGAGUUGGACUCCAGCUUGCUGUGUACAACCAAAGCCGUCUGACUACAUCCUCACCAACACCCAACCAUCCUGGACAACACAGAAUUGAUUUUGGCUGGAUAUUUUUACACACCACAUUGAGUCAUGUAAAACAAAACAAACACUGAACAUUGAAACCACGAAAUACUGUAGUACUGUUCCACAACACAACCAUGUGUGUACUUUUAAGCGAUUUUGGAACACUGCCUCAAAAGGGAACUCCUUCUUGAUGAAGUCUUUGAGACGUGGAAGGUCACAGCUCAAACAGACAGGCUUCCUGUGGGCGGAGUCCCCUGCCUUUUCUGUAUAUAACAGCGGCUAUACACCGUCUUAACUGAGUGGCUUAAUUAGAUUGUUAGAAAUAAUAUAGUGCUUAAUCCAUGUAGCAGCAUUCGUGGUGACUGAUGGACUCCAAUGAUGUUCCACUCACGAUCAGUGUGUCUCAUUUAAGAAUGUAUUUUUCCAGCUGACAGGAAACGAUCAACUGUCCGUGGUGAAGAAAGCUGCGUUCAGCAGUCUGUUGUUCCAUCCAGCUUUCAUCUCGUGACUGCAUGCUUGUAUUUGUCUUCCUGUGCAUGUUUUCAGUUUUUUUCAGUAACCAUUCUUAUUAUUGCCAAGUUUGCCUCAAUUAUAUACAGGUGGGUAUGUGUGUAUGUGUGUGUGUCUUGUUUGGGUGCCUUAACCCUACAAUUGUGUGUACUGUGUGUGAUUGGAUUCAUCAUGUGUGUCCUCUGCCUGAGGUGUGUGUGUGCGUGUGUGUGCACACUAGAUAUGUGUAAUGAUAAUAACAUGACCUGUCAGUGUGUGUGUGUGUGUGUGUGUGUGUGUGUGUGUGUGUGUGUGUGUGUGUGUGUGUGUGUGUGUGUGUGUGUGUGGUUUGCCGCUUAUCAAUGAAUUAUUCUCUCUGUUUCAAUUCCGUGAGAUUAUUAUUCUUUUUUAAGAAUUAUCACUGUUUCAAAUCAUCAUCAUCAUAUUGAAGCACAAGACCACCAUUAUGUAAAAGCUGAUGAAAAAGAAAGACAGGAUCAUAUUCUUUCAGAGGCUAUGACCAUCAUGAUAAUCAUAAUCGUUACAACUCUAUUAAUCCGAUUUUUGUUUUUCUACGACAAAAAAAAGUAGACAAGUUGCCUGAUAGUCCAGUCACCGUCUUUACAGAUAAUAGACUGUUCUAUUUAUCUAUGAAGGUAUAAUAAAUAUCAUUGAGAAUUUUA